rfam:Otolemur garnettii contig116707, whole genome shotgun sequence.
UGUCAUGGUAAUGGCUGACCAGGACUCCCUUACCUACACACGCCUCUGCUUAUAGGGGUGACGGCCAGUCCUGGUGUCAGGGUGAUU